GACGAACGCUGGCGGCGUGCCUAACACAUGCAAGUCGAACGGAGAUAUGCGAACGAGGCCUUCGGGCGGAGAUUGCAUAUUUUAGUGGCGGACGGGCGAGUAACGCGUGAGCAACCUGCCCUUCAGAGGGGGAUAACGGCUGGAAACGGCCGCUAAUACCGCAUGACAUAUACACAAGGCAUCUUGAGUAUAUCAAAGGAGGAAUCCGCUGAAAGGAUGGGCUCGCGUCCGAUUAGCUGGUUGGUGAGGUAACGGCUCACCAAGGCGACGAUCGGUAGCCGAACUGAGAGGUUGAUCGGCCGCAUUGGGACUGAGACACGGCCCAGACUCCUACGGGAGGCAGCAGUGGGGGGAUAUUGCACAAUGGAGGAAACUCUGAUGCAGCGACGCCGCGUGGGGAAGAAGGCUUUCGGAUUGUAAAACCUCCAGUAGUUCAGGGAAGAAAGCAAGUAGAACGGUACCUAGAAGAAGUAAGACUCCGGCUAACCUAACGUGCACG
rnacentral:rRNA from 1 species